rnacentral:rRNA from 1 species
UGGGGAAUAUUGGACAAUGGGCGCAAGCCUGAUCCAGCAAUGCCGCGUGUGUGAAGAAGGCCUUCGGGUUGUAAAGCACUUUUAUCAGGAGCGAAACGCUGUCGGCUAAUACCCGGCGGAACUGACGGUACCUGAGGAAUAAGCACCGGCUAACUUCGUGCCAGCAGCCGCGGUAAUACGAAGGGUGCAAGCGUUAAUCGGAAUUACUGGGCGUAAAGCGUGCGUAGGCGGUUUCUUAAGUCUGCUGUGAAAUCCCCGGGCUCAACCUGGGAAUGGCAGUGGAUACUGGGAGGCUAGAGUGUGUCAGAGGGUGGUGGAAUUCCCGGUGUAGCGGUGAAAUGCGUAGAGAUCGGGAGGAACAUCAGUGGCGAAGGCGGCCACCUGGGACAACACUGACGCCGAGGCACGAAAGCGUGGGGAGCAAACAGGAUUAGAUACCCUGGUAGUCCACGCCCUAAACGAUGCGAACUGGAUGUUGGUCUCAACUCGGAGAUCAGUGUCGAAGCUAACGCGUUAAGUUCGCCGCCUGGGGAGUACGGUCGCAAGACUGAAACUUAAAUGAAUUGACGGGGUCAUAGCUGUUUCC